rnacentral:rRNA from 1 species
CUAGCGACUUCAGAGUUUGAUCCUGGCUCAGAUUGAACGCUGGCGGCAUGCCUUACACAUGCAAGUCGAACGGUAACAGGCCUUCGGGUGCUGACGAGUGGCGAACGGGUGAGUAAUGCAUCGGAACGUGCCCGGUCGUGGGGGAUAACGCAGCGAAAGCUGUGCUAAUACCGCAUACGAUCUGAGGAUGAAAGCGGGGGACCUUCGGGCCUCGCGCGGUCGGAGCGGCCGAUGUCGGAUUAGCUAGUUGGUGGGGUAAAGGCCUACCAAGGCGACGAUCCGUAGCUGGUCUGAGAGGACGACCAGCCACACUGGGACUGAGACACGGCCCAG